rnacentral:rRNA from 1 species
GGUGGGAGUGGAGUGGAGAGGAGGAGGAGGAGAGCGUCCUUUAUGAGAAGGCAGGGGGUAGAAACUUGGAAGGAGGAGGAGGCGCGACUGGAUGGGGAGUGGGAGGGGAGGGGAGGGGAGGGGCCGUUGUUUGGUCCGGGGAGGAUGUAUCUCCGUUAGGCAAGGCCGGAGAGUCGGGCGUCGUCGUGGGGCCGGCCUCGAGGGCGCUGCGGCUCGGCCUGCCUGCCCUCCUCGGUGGCGGGGCGUCGUGCGCGCGCGACCAUCCCGCUCCCUCCCCUCCCCUAGCUACCGCUUCGACAUGCACGUCCGCCACGGGGGCGGCCUAGACUUGUUCUUGUGGCUCACCAAGUACAUGGGCCCCCAGACCUGGUGGAUGUAGAAGUAGGAGAAGCAGAGGACCGAGGAGUAGGAGAGGUAGAAGCCGACGUGGGGGCCGUACCGGACCUGCGAGCAGUUGGAGCCGGUGAAGCGCUAAUGUAUGGUGAAGAAGGUGACCUUCUUCCCUUGAGGUAAACGACUACUGGUCCCCUACAUAUUAUCUAACUGAACCACCCUCGUUUACCUGUUGCCGUUCGUCGAAUGAGCGUUGUCUUUUAAAGAACAACACCAAGGACAUCAGGACAUGAACUAGCGAAGCGUGUGGUGUCUGAUAGUUGUAGGAUACGAGAAAAACUUGUGGUAACGUCAGUGUCAUGACCAACAACGCUUUGAUGGCUUGUACGUGUUCCAGGCCUAAAAACCUUAGUUACGCCCAUUGAUUCGCCGUCGCAGGGUCCCAUCUGUCGUGAGUUAUAGUACAAAGUAAACUUACCGACCUACCACAACGUGGAUCAAGACUUAAGCGAGGAGUCUCAUGGUCACACAUCACAAACUCUCGACAAUCAUCUACUGUACACUAGUAACAUGUCUCUUUGCGAUUUUCCGGACCUUUUACUACGACAAAACGUUGAAACGGGCUGUGUGCAAGACAUCUGAGAAAUACGACGAUAUACAAAACAACGUUGAUAAACAGUGAACUAUGUACAUGUCAAAGAGGCACGGACUUCAAAAGGAAAGAAUUAGGGG